GAUGAACGCUAGCGGGAGGCCUAACACAUGCAAGCCGAGCGGUAUUGUUUCUUCGGAAAUGAGAGAGCGGCGUACGGGUGCGUAACACGUGUGCAACCUGCCUUUAUCUGGGGGAUAGCCUUUCGAAAGGAAGAUUAAUACUCCAUAAUAUAUUGAACGGCAUCGUUUAAUAUUGAAAGCUCCGGCGGAUAGAGAUGGGCACGCGCGAGAUUGGCUAGUUGGUGAGGUAACGGCUCACCAAGGCGAUGAUCUUUAGGGGGCCUGAGAGGGUGAGCCCCCACACUGGUACUGAGACACGGACCAGACUCCUACGGGAGGCAGCAGUGAGGAAUAUUGGUCAAUGGGUGCAAGCCUGAACCAGCCAUCCCGCGUGAAGGACGACUGCCCUAUGGGUUGUAAACUUCUUUUGUAUAGGGAUAAACCUACCCUCGAGAGGGUAGCUGACGGUACUAUACGAAUAAGCACCGGCUAACUCCGUG
rnacentral:rRNA from 1 species